GGGCAGCAGUGGGGAAUAUUGCACAAUGGGCGAAAGCCUGAUGCAGCGACGCCGCGUGGAGGAAGAAGGUCUUCGGAUUGUAAACUCCUGUUAAAUGGGAAGAAAGACCUUUGGUUAAUACCCAGAGGGGAUGACGGUACCAUUAGAGAAAGCUCCGGCUAACUUCGUGCCAGCAGCCGCGGUAAUACGAAGGGAGCAAGUGUUAUUCGGAAUAACUGGGCGUAAAGGGUGCGUAGGCGGUUUAUUAAGUUGGUUGUUAAAUUUCACUGCUUAACGGUGAGCAAGCAAUCAAUACUGAUGAGCUAGAGGGUGGAAGAGAGGAGUGGAAUUCUUGGAGUAGCGGUAAAAUGCGUAGAUCUCAAGAGGAACACCAAUUGCGAAGGCAGCUCCUUGGUCCAUACCUGACGCUGAAGUACGAAAGCGUGGGGAGCAAACAGGAUUAGAUACCCCUGUAGUC
rnacentral:rRNA from 1 species